rnacentral:lncRNA from 1 species
UUUCUGGUUGUACUCAUCUAUACCAUCUUUGGGACCUCCAAUUUUGCCUACAUUCAAAAGGAAGCUUGAAUUAAUAAUAUGUUCAACUUGGAGAUCAUUGGCAAUAACAUAUGUCUGUUUCAAAUCACCACCUCUGUGGGUUGGAAUUGAGGGAUAGCACCUAUCUUCAACAGUGUUCCUUCAAAUAUGACCAAAAAUAUCAUCUAGGACGUUCAGUGGAAGGAAACCACAAAACACUGUCUAUGGGGAUAUUCUAUUUUGUCAUCUAGAUCAUCAUAUACUUUCUGGUUCUGGUGAACUGUACAUUGCUGUCAUAUUGGAGACCUUCUUGAGUGUUGCCAGUAAAGAAAGUGCAGAGACCCAGCCCCCCAAAGUGAAGACAACUUUGAGAUAUUCUAUGAGGUCUGAGGGACGUUUGACCCUGAUAUCCUUUGAAUAAAGAGUUCUGUAAGCUCUCUAAUCUUGCAGCUGCCUUUGGAUCCUCUGUUUCUUAUACUCGAGCCAAACAAAGGUCAUUGUCGUGGGUCUACCCAUUUUAGUGGAGACUAGGGUCUGUGAUCUUGAUAUUUUAUUUGCCUUAACAAAGAAGUCUCUGGGUGAGAAUGGAGGACUAGAUUCUCUUCAAUUACAAAUGGAUGAAAGGUUUAUGUCUGCAAACCCUUCUGAAGUGUCCUCUGAAGCCAUCAUAACUACACUCAGAUGAAAACUACAUGAAGACAAUGGAUCUGCUACUGUCAUCCAACAUGGUUACAGAUGUCACUUGUGGAAAAAUGUCCAAAAAUAUCCAUUAUAUAAAUAAAGGUGGGAGACAGAAUGGUGAUUUACCCAAUAAAGAAAAUCCAAUUAUCAAUAAAGGUAAUGAGAAC